rnacentral:rRNA from 1 species
AACGAACGCUGGCGGCAUGCCUAACACAUGCAAGUCGAACGAGACCUUCGGGUCUAGUGGCGCACGGGUGCGUAACGCGUGGGAACCUGCCCUUAGGUUCGGAAUAACUCCCCGAAAGGGGUGCUAAUACCGGAUAAUGUCUUCGGACCAAAGAUUUAUCGCCUUUGGAUGGGCCCGCGUUGGAUUAGCUAGUUGGUAGGGUAAAAGCCUACCAAGGCGACGAUCCAUAGCUGGUCUGAGAGGAUGAUCAGCCACACUGGGACUGAGACACGGCCCAGACUCCUACGGGAAGCAGCAGUGGGGAAUAUUGGACAAUGGGCGAAAGCCUGAUCCAGCAAUGCCGCGUGAGUGAUGAAGGCCUUAGGGUUGUAAAGCUCUUUUACCCGGGAUGAUAAUGACAGUACCGGGAGAAUAAGCUCCGGCUAACUCCGU